UGGGGAAUAUUGGACAAUGGGCGAAAGCCUGAUCCAGCCAUGCCGCGUGUGUGAAGAAGGUCUUCGGAUUGUAAAGCACUUUAAGUUGGGAGGAAGGGCAGUAAGCGAAUACCUUGCUGUUUUGACGUUACCGACAGAAUAAGCACCGGCUAACUCUGUGCCAGCAGCCGCGGUAAUACAGAGGGUGCAAGCGUUAAUCGGAAUUACUGGGCGUAAAGCGCGCGUAGGUGGUUCGUUAAGUUGAAUGUGAAAGCCCCGGGCUCAACCUGGGAACUGCAUCCAAAACUGGCGAGCUAGAGUAGGGCAGAGGGUGGUGGAAUUUCCUGUGUAGCGGUGAAAUGCGUAGAUAUAGGAAGGAACACCAGUGGCGAAGGCGACCACCUGGGCUCAUACUGACACAGAGGUGCGAAAGCGUGGGGAGCAAACAGG
rnacentral:rRNA from 1 species